CUCAAAAUGAGUAGGUAGGAAGGUAAAAUUUGGUUCCAAACACCUCUUUCUCUCCUUAAUGGUCCACAAGGAUUUAGCUUCUAAAUUCCUGUUGAUCAAAUUAUAGCAUAACCAAAUUUUGUUGGAAAUGGAGUCUUCAAUAUGACACUUGAUUAACUAUUUUUCCCAAAGCUUUGUCUUUCAGUCUUCGGGUGGAGUUUAGAGGAGGAGAGUUUACCAGUGUUGGAGUACAUUAGAAUUUGUUGGUUGGACCUAUUCAUGCGUCUUCACCAGCAGCUGGAGCAUCUCCACCCUUGGUAUUUCACGGAAUACUAUGCAGCCAUAAAAAUGAUGAGUUUGUGUCCUUUGCAGGGACAUGGAUGAACCUGGAAACCAAGCACCACAUGUUCUCACUCACAGCCGUAGCUGAGGCCAUCAUCAGAACAUCCCUGGACUAUUCUAACAGCCCCUGGAAGGGUCC
rnacentral:lncRNA from 1 species